rnacentral:lncRNA from 1 species
UGGUGGCCCAGGUGGGAUGGCCCAGGUGGCCCUUACAGGCAGUGAGGGGGAUUGAGAUGCACACUCCCUAGACCUGGGCUUUGCACUCACCACCCCAGCUUCUGGACUUUGCCACAUCCCUCUGCCACACCAUCCCUGGCCACCCUGGGCACAAGGUGUCACUGCCCAGAGGCUCCUUUUCCUUGCCAGUCCUCACCACCCUCUGUCUUCAGCCCACACUGUUCUUCCAUGUUUUAUCGACAACUGUCCAGUGGGGUGGGGGGGCUUCAGGGAAGGAACCAGGGUGCACCCAGCAAUGGUGACCGAGAGUGAGGAAAGGGCUACCGAGACAGAAGCAUUUUGUCUUCCUGCCCUGCCGUCUCCAGAAGCUGUGGCCAGCAGGCUUGGUCACAGGCAGAUGCUG